UCAAGCGAACAAGGGCGCAGGGCGAAUGCCUUGGCACUGGGAGCCGAUGAAAGACGUGAUAAGCUGCGAUAAGCUUCGGGGAGCUGCAAAUAAGCAUUGAUCCGGAGAUUUCUGAAUGAGGAAACUCACCUGGGUUCAUACUCAGGUACGUUGUACUGAAAUUCAAAAUAGGUACAUCGGGGGAACCGCCUGAACUGAAACAUCUAAGUAGGGCGAGGAAGAGACAUCAAACGAGAUUCCGUAAGUAGUGGCGAGCGAACGCGGAAGAGGGCAAACCGGGAGUAGAAAUACUUCCGGGGUACGGACUGCUUUUAGGACUCGAUCUGUUAACCGAACGGCAUGGGAAGGCCGGUCAGAGAGUGUGAGAACCACGUAGGUGAAAACGGAGAGAGCUGCGCAGAUUCCAGAGUACGGCCAGACACGUGAAACCUGGUCGGAAGAUGGGGGGACCACCCUCCAACCCUAAAUACUACCCAGUGACCGAUAGCGUAUAGUACUGUGAAGGAAAGGUGAAAAGCACCCCGGGAGGGGAGUGAAAAAGAACCUGAAACCCUGUGCCUACAAGCACCUAGAGCGCGUCAAUGCGUGAUAGGGUACUUUUUGUAGAACGGUCCGGCGAGCGAUUGUAUGCAGCAAGGUUAAGGACUUAAGGUCUGGAGCCGAAGCGAAAGCGAGUUUGAAAAGGGCGUUAAGUUGCAUAUAAUGGGCCCGAAACCGGGUGACCUACCCAUGGUCAGGUUGAAGUGGAAGUAAAAUUCCAUGGAGGACCGAACCGACCUCCGUUGAAAAGGCGGCGGAUGAACUGUGGGUAGCGGAGAAAUUCCAAUCGAACCCGGAGAUAGCUGGUUCUCCCCGAAAUAGUUUUAGGACUAGCCUCAAGUUAGAUACCUGGAGGUAAAGCACUGAAUAGCCUAGCGGCCGAGAGGUUAGCGAAGCUUAUCAAACUCAGAAUGCCAGAGUAUUGAUGCUUGGGAGUCAGACAGUGUCAGAUAAAUGUCAUUGUCAAAAGGGAAACAGCCCAGAUCUACAGCUAAGGUCCCAAAGUCAGGUUAAGUGGAAAACGAUGUGAAGAUACGCAGACAACCAGGAUGUUGGCUCAGAAGCAGCCACUCAUUCAAAGAGUGCGUAAUAGCUCACUGGUCGAGCGUCUUUGCGCGGAGAAUUUAACGGGGCUAAACCUGACACCGAAGCUUAGGCAAUCCAGUAAUGGAUUGGGUAGGGGAGCGUUGUAUACGCGGAGAAACAGUAGCGUAAGCGGCUGUGGAGUGUAUAGAAGUGAGAAUGCCGGAAUGAGUAGCGCGAAUGCAGUGAGAAUCUGCAUGGCCGAAAGCCUCAGGUUUUUGGAGGAAGGUUCGUCCGCUCCAAGUUAGUCGGGAGCUAAGGUGAGGCCGGAAGGCGUAGCCGAUGCACAGACGGUAGAGAUUCCGUCACCACCAAAAGAGUUAAGCACAGGGACACAUUUGAAGUCUCAGAGCCGGGUGUUGGUUCCGGUAGAGAUCGAGGGAAGUUAGUACCGAAGUCUGGGAUGGAAGAUGGCGAGAAAAGCUGUGUGUAUUUCUGAGGUGCCCGUACCGCAAACCGACACAGGUAGGUAGGAAGAAGAUUCUAAGGCCAACGGGAGAAGGGUUGUUAAGGAACUCGGCAAAUUGACCCCGUAACUUCGGGAGAAGGGGUGCUCCAGAGAUGGAGCCGCAGAGAAUCGGCCCAAGCAACUGUUUACCAAAAACACAGGUUUGUGCUAAAUCGAAAGAUGACGUAUACGAGCUGACGCCUGCCCGGUGCUGGAAGGUUAAGAGGAGAUGUGCAAGCAUUGAAUCGAAGCCCCAGUGAACGGCGGCCGUAACUAUAACGGUCCUAAGGUAGCGAAAUUCCUUGUCAGGUAAGUUCUGACCCGCA
rnacentral:rRNA from 1 species